AGAGAAAUGGUUGAGUGGUUUAAAACGUCAGUUUCGAAAUCUGAAUUAAAAUUUUAUUUUUAUCGAGGGUUCGAAUCCCUCUUUCUCUA
rnacentral:tRNA from 1 species